UUUUUCUUCUAUCUCGUUUUCGGUUCAUCCGAAAAGGAAAAACCCAAAUUAGUUCUCCCCUCUCGAUUUCAAUCAUCAACUGAAAGUAGGAAAUACUUGUCUCCUCUCGUUAUUUUUGUGUAGGAUUCCAUCUCUAGAGAACCAAUUUUGAUAGGGCUUCUUUGCUCAAAUCUGUUGGUACCACUUGCAAUCCUCCUCUACUCAUUGACAAGGAAUAAUACAUCAAGCUUUUUAAAGAUUGCUUCUGAAGGACUCAAUCACCAAGUGUUGGAGGUUUCAUGGCUGAUCUUUGAGGAAAUGAGGAUCAAUCGUACAUGAAGUUCAGACUUAAAGUUGAGGAUGUUCAAAGAAAGAAUGUUCUUACCAACUGGGGAAUGGAUUUUACAGUUGAGAUCUCUUGCAAGUAAGUGGUAGACAUUGAUUGAAGCUCAUAAUGAUGUCAAGACAACAGACAACUUCACCUUGAGGAUGUUCUGCAUUAGAUUCACCAAGUAGCGAGACAAACAGGUCAAGAGAACCUGUUAUGCUCAAU